rnacentral:rRNA from 1 species
GACGAACCGUGCGAACGUUAUUCGGAAUCACUGGGCUUAAAGCGCGUGUAGGCGGGACGGCACGUCGGUCGCUGAAAGCCCCCGGCUCAACCGGGGAAGGGGCGCCGAUACGACCGACCUGGAGGGACGUAGGGGGACCUGGAACUUCCGGUGGAGCGGUGAAAUGCGUUGAGAUCGGAAGGAACGCCCGUGGCGAAAGCGAGGUCCUGGACGUCUGCUGACGCUGAGACGCGAAAGCCAGGGGAGCGAACGGG